ensembl:lncRNA
AACGAGAACUGGGGAUUUUUUUUCUUCAAAUAAAUUAAUUAUUUCAAGUCCUCUUCCCACAGGGUCGACUCCACCCCCCUGGGAAAUCCAGCCCAUCAGCAAUUGGCUCAGACCUGGCCCCUUCAUCUCGGGUAACCAAUGAGCAGCCAGGAAAGAAGUGUGGUUUCCUGUGCCUGUAGCUCCGCCCUCUUCGUCAUGGAGGGGAGUGAGAAGGCGUGUGCUGCCCAAACCCAUUGACCUCUAACCUCUCUUGACCCCUAACCCCAAUCCUGUCCUUGUGCUCUCAACAGUUAUAUUCCUCCUUCAUCAGUCCUACAAUCAAGAAGUGCUGUUCUCUCCUUUUACAGUUCUCUCUUCUUCCUCUGGUUUGGUUUCUUCAGUGCGUCUUCAAUUUGUGUAUCUGGUUGUGUGUCAUUCAACUUUUCUUUUCCUUGUUUCUAAAAUCAGAUGUUGUAGUUUUUCCCCGAUGUGGUGAUUCCCCAGAUCUCAUCUGUAGAGCUCCUGAGAUGUGGCGCGGAGAGAGGAAGAGGCCGUCUGUCUGUCUCUCCAGGUGUGGAAAGUAGAAAACAGCACGUUCCUUUGAGACUAGGAUGUUGGUUUUUGGUUAAAUGGAUGAAGAAACCCACCGCAGGAACACAAGACUUGUUGAAGAGGGACGAGGGAUGGACUGGCUGAACUGGUGGAAUCUGGAUCAGCAUCUUAUUUAAAUGCUGAAAACUCCCCUGGAAUGAAGAGAAGAGAGAGAAGAUCAGGUUGGAAGAGAGGAGAGAGGAGACAGCAGUACAGAGUGGAAGAGAGAGAGGAGAGAGAGAGACAGCAGUACAGAGUGGAAGAGAGAGAGGAGAGAGAGAGCAAGACAGAGUGGAAGAGAGAGAGGAGAGAGAGA